rnacentral:rRNA from 1 species
GAACGCUGGCGGCAGGCUUAACACAUGCAAGUCGAGCGGGGGAAGGUAGCUUGCUACCGGACCUAGCGGCGGACGGGUGAGUAAUGCUUAGGAAUCUGCCUAUUAGUGGGGGACAACAUCUCGAAAGGGAUGCUAAUACCGCAUACGUCCUACGGGAGAAAGCAGGGGAUCUUCGGACCUUGCGCUAAUAGAUGAGCCUAAGUCGGAUUAGCUAGUUGGUGGGGUAAGGGCCUACCAAGGCGACGAUCUGUAGCGGGUCUGAGAGGAUGAUCCGCCACACUGGGACUGAGACACGGCCCAGACUCCUACGGGAGGCAGCAGUGGGGAAUAUUGGACAAUGGGGGGAACCCUGAUCCAGCCAUGCCGCGUGUGUGAAGAAGGCCUUAUGGUUGUAAAGCACUUUAAGCGAGGAGGAGGCUACUUUAGUUAAUACCUAGAGAUAGUGGACGUUACUCGCAGAAUAAGCACCGGCUAACUCUGUGCCAGCAGCCGCGGUAAUACAG